rnacentral:rRNA from 1 species
AGCGUAGGCGGGUUUUUAAGUAAGGUGUUUAAUCCCGGGGCCCAACCCCGGACAGGCACUUUAAACUGGAAGUCUUGAAUAGUGGAGAGGUCAGUGGAAUUGGGGGUGUAGCGGUGGAAUGCGUAGAGAUCCCCAAGAACACCAGUUGCGAAGGCGGCUGACUGGACACAUAUUGACGCUGAGGCUCGAAAGCAUGGGGAGCAAACA